rnacentral:rRNA from 1 species
CCUACGGGGGGCUGCAGUGGGGAAUAUUGCUCAAUGGGCGAGAGCCUGACGCAGCGACGCCGCGUGAGGGAUGAAGGUCCUCGGAUCGUUAAACUCUGUCAGCAGGGAAGAACGGUCACUGUGCUAAUCAGCAGUGAAUUGACGGUACCUGCAAAGGACGCACCGGCUAACUCCGUGACCGCAGCCGCGGUAAUACGGCGGGUGCGAGCGUUAAUCGGAAUUACUGGGCGUAAAGCGCUCGUAGGCGGUAUGUCAAGUCAAGGGUGAAAUCCCCGCGCUCAACGUGGGAACUGCCUGUGAAACUGGCAAACUGGAGUGUGUGAGAGGAUAGUGGAAUUCCAGGUGUAGGAGUGAAAUCCGUAGAUAUCUGGAGGAACAUCAGUGGCGAAGGCGACUAUCUGACACAUAACUGACGCUGAGGAGCGAAAGCGUGGGUAGCAAACAGGAUUAGAUACCCUUGUAGUC